rnacentral:hammerhead_ribozyme from 1 species
AUCCAAUUGACGAGUCCCAAAUAGAAUGAAAUGCGUGUCCUGGAU